AGGAAUGUGUGAUUUGCCCACUUGCCCGCUCCAAGUUGGGAGUUUGAAUCCUGCGGUCCAGGUGAAAGCUUGGACUGUGUGGUUCUUUAGAGGGGAGGGUCCAGCGUCAGGCUGGUUUCACAGAGCAGCGAAGACCUCCCGCUCUUGGCAGUGGAAGGAUAACGAGUAGGUUUCUAUACUCCU
rnacentral:SRP_RNA from 1 species